UCAUCCAAUCAGCUAAAGGCCUGAGUAGCACAAAAGGGCUGACCCUGUUGUGAGCAGAAGGGAUUUCGCCAUCAAGUAGGAUGGAUGUUGGCUUUUACCUGCUUUCUAAGGUAAAAGAAACAUCAGCUCUUCCUGGGUUUCAGUCUUGUUGGCCUUUGAACUGGCACUGUGCUGUUAAUUCUGCAGGUUCUUCAACUUGCUGACUGCCGACCUUGGGAUAUGUCAGCUUCCAUAAUCAUGAAGAUCCUACAUGCCGCGGAGCAACUAAACCUGAGAGUUACAACUACCGAGCCCAUGCCUCACGAUUACUGGAGCCCACGGGCUUAGAGCGCAUGCCUGGCAAUGUGAGAAGCCCCCACAACGAGAAGCCCGCACCGCAGCAAAGAGAGUAGCCAACUUGCUACAACUAAACAAAGCCCAUGAGCUGCAACUAGAGAAAGUCCAAGUGCAGCAAUGAAUAAAUAAUAAUAAAUCAAUCAAAAUAAAUAGCUAAAGCUCUCUUUUAUAUUUCCUUAUAAUACAUAACACAUUUCUUUAUAUAUACAAUAUAUAUAUAUGGGUCUAUGUGUGUUUUUACGUAACGCUUAUGUCUUCUAAAAUUCAUAUGUUGAAAUCCCAACUCUUAGUGUGAUGAUAUUUAAAGAUGGGACCUUUGGGAGGCAAUUGGAUCAUGAGGGCUCCUAUGGCUUUAGUACUCCUAUAAAAGAGACCCCCAAGGAUCUUCUUCAUCCAUUCUACCGUAAGGGGACACAGCAAGAAGUUAGCCAUCUAUGAACUCAGGGAAGGCUCUCACUGGACACCGAAUCUACUAGCAUCUUGCUAACAAACUUCCCAGCCUCCAAAACUGUGAGUAAUAAACUUCAGUUGUUUGUAAGGCACCCAAACCGUGUUAUUC